rnacentral:rRNA from 1 species
CUAUGCGCCUUGCCCAGCCGCUCAGGUGUGCCAGCAGCGCGGUAAUACAGAGGUCUCAAGCGUUGUUCGGAAUCACUGGGCGUAAAGCGUGCGUAGGCGGUUUCGUAAGUCGUGUGUGAAAGGCGGGGGCUCAACCCCCGGACUGCACAUGAUACUGCGAGACUAGAGUAAUGGAGGGGGAACCGGAAUUCUCGGUGUAGCAGUGAAAAUGCGUAGAUAUCGAGAGGAACACUCGUGGCGAAGGCGGGUUCCUGGACAUUAACUGACGCUGAGGCACGAAGGCCAGGGGAGCGAAAGGG